rnacentral:antisense_RNA from 1 species
AUGGGAACCAGACAGCAGCCUUGGGGACGCAGCAUCAACGACACCAAAGGCUGACAGUGAACUGAUGACAACAGUGACAAGCUCAUGAAGAAAGAAGGCAGGAUCUCAGGAGAAUGCGUAACAGGACACUCCACCUGGCAUGGUAGGUCAGGAAGAGGUCCUCAAAGAAGGAACAUGUAAAGUGUGAGCCGGCAGAAGUGGAAGCUGCAAGUGCAUCUUUCUGUAUCUCGUUUGUGAGAGCUCAUUAUCGAGUUGACACGAACCCCUGGCCCAGCACAUGCUGCACAGGCCGUACCUUUCUUGUGAAGAAUGUUCCGGGCUCGUACCAGGUCAGGAUCAUCAGGCCCAACACCCAGAAUUCUGAGAGACACAUAGUUGAGCGCAGUCCCAAACACGGUGGACUUAUCCUCAAUGUGCCUACAGGAGCAGAAGACAGGUGAGAAACCGGUAUCUGUCCUUACUUCUAAGAAAUAAAGUAAAACUUUCUGUGGAGUUUCCUCAGAAAACUAAGAAUGCUAAAAUGCCUUAACCUGACAUAACAUGUCAACACAGGAGACCCCUGAGCAGCCACUCUGCAGUACGAAUUCAUGCACCUCCCCUGACAACCGAGCCCCCCACUCCUUCCUCACCCUGACCCGUCUGCUCUACACCUUCCCACGCCUGAGUCAACACUUCUAGCCCAAGGGCGGUCCACUUUGGGCUACGGCUCUGCUCCCAAAGUGUGUGCCAUAUGGCAGGAAAGCUGUCAGGCCCUGUCUCCACCUGCUGCCAGCCCAGAGUCAA